rnacentral:lncRNA from 1 species
CAGGAGACUGAGGGGAAAGAGGGAGCGGGACAGUCUGUCAGCAUGAGUCGGCAGCAGAGCAGGCCGGCGAUGGAAAGCGCUGCUCAAUAGACCGAUAGCUCGAUAUAUAUAUUUAUAUCUAUAUAUAGACAUAAAUAGGUGGAUGUCAGCUGUGUGUGAAGCAGAAGGCGACAGAAGACGAGGAGGAGAAACAUGAGUCGGCAGCAGCAGCAGUCCCAGGGAGUGGUUUUAACGGGUUACCACAGCAACGCGGAACUGUUGCCGAAAACUGGACCGUGUGCCCCCAGCUGUCCGUCAGCCCAGGACCACGAGCCCAGCCGCAGAACCGGCCACUACACCCUUCAACAGAACCAGAGCACACAACAUGAAGACAGAUCUGGGCUUUCUACAACCAACAGCAGUACAAAGCCCCCCAGCACUCACCCACCAUCACUACUGCAGUCUUCCUCCAGCCCCAAGCCGGGCUCCAGCCCCAAGCCGGGCUCCAGCCCCAGACACAGUCCUAAUCCCAGUUCCAGGUCCAGACCGCUGCCACCGUGUCAGCGGAGCAACUCUCAGGACUCUCUGGACGAGCUGGAGAUGGACGACUAUUGGAAUGAGGUGGAGAAUAUCACCCGCUCGGGGGGAGAAGAGGGGAAGGGAGAAGGUGGAGGAGAAGGAGAAACUCAGGAGGAGGAGCAGCAGAAGAUUCCUGAGGGUAAGAGACACCGUGUUCCAUGGAUUGACCCGAAAGAGACACACACACCCUUUUUCUUUCA